rnacentral:lncRNA from 1 species
UCCAACCUUGCUGCACGACAUUUACAAUUAUCACAAGCGAAAUCCAGCGCGAGUUUUUCAUGUAGGAAAGAUUACCGGCUAGAUCCAAAAGUCAAAUUUGAUUACGACAGUUAAAAGCCUAACAUUUAGGGAGUUACUUUCGGUAGCUUGCCCUUCUCCACUUCAAAGAACAGAGUCGUUACUAAAACGUUAUGUCGCUAGCCAGCAGCAGCCCAGAUCCAAGCUGCAUGCCGCAACAUAUGGUCAAACAACCAACACAUAUCACAAAUGUUUCAGUAAAUCCUGCGGAUAACGAGCUACGCAUUUAGAAUACACCAAGCACCAAAAGGAUGGAUACUCUGCUAGAGAACCACUAGUUCUUAACCAGUUUGCUCAGUUUUACAAUGAGUGUAGCUUCGAAAAUGCCAGUUAACUACCUCUGCAUCAGCUUCUUACUAGUAAAAUAGUAGUUAUCUCUUGCAUGUUGAAGUUCAAAUCAAGGAAAGGAAUUACCAGAGAACUACUCGACCAGCAUGACUAUAUAAAUAAUGACGACUUAAGACCCAUUUCAACAGAGCUCAUAUGAUGAUUAAAUAAUCGUGCUCGGCCUAUUUGGAUUGCCCAGUAGCUUAAGAUUAGUCAAAGGACGGAUAAGAACCACUUGCUGGCUGUCUGCAAAAUAUACGGAUGGUGGCUGGGAUGAAAAGGGAAAACGGUCGUGGUUGAAAGGCAGUGUGCCGGCAUAAACGUUCCCCAAACUAAUAUGAAUGGCCAGGAUGGUCUUGUUGAGUAUUUCGCUAUGAGCUGCUCCCUUACAGCGAAACGCUUCAGAAUUUAGACUUUAUUGUUAACAGGCAGAUCGUGCAACGGAAGCAAUCGCCCAAAAGCGCCCAGCUUUGGCAAAAAGGAGGAGAAUAUGAAUUCAUCAGAACAAAGCCAGAACUCACGCAUCGAUAGCGACUCGUAAAGCUUAGCUAGGAGGUGCUUAUGCUUUCGACGGAUCUGACUGUGUCAAUGGCGAACAACUUGUCUGGUGAAGAACUGACCUCAAGAGAAGCCUAUAGGGAAAAGGGUUUCUAUGAAAGAGGAUAAUGGCUUAACCUACAAAAUGGCAAAAAGUUAUCAAAAACUAAUUACUUUUUAUUGUUAUAAUUUAAUUUAAAAAUACUAAUUUGCAACUAGUACUUUUACAUACCAGUUUGGCCACUAAAUGCAGGAUAUUUUACGGUGCCACAUGUGCAAGUAUGUAUUUAUGCAUUAGAAGUGUUCAGCUCCAUGCUCAGUUGGGUUUGAGUAAAUGUCUCAAAAAUGAAAUGUGUGAAUAUUUGUGCUUGUUUGUGCGCUGCUGUAACAUGUUAAAUUUGACAAGACAACAGCUGUGUGUUAGCUAGCAAGCGGUACUAAAACAAAAACAAACAAAAAAAAAAGAAAACAGUAAAGAGAAACUAAAAAUUAAAAAGGGAGUAGAAGUGUUAUGCAGAAAACUCCAAAGGACUAAAAGGACUAGAUGUGCGACAUGCGUGUGUUAGUGUGGCAAAUGAAAAAUCAACUUGGCCGAAAGAUGAAAUUUAAUUUUCAAAAAACAAUGAUUUUUCAGGGGAAUUG